AAUCAACGCUGGCGGCGUGCCUAACACAUGCAAGUCGCACGAGAAAGGGACUUCGGUCCUGAGUACAGUGGCGCACGGGUGAGUAACACGUGAAUAAUCUACCUCCGAGUGGGGAAUAACUGAGAGAAAUCUUAGCUAAUACCGCAUAACACUUACGAGUCAAAGCAGCAAUGCGCUUGGAGAGGAGUUCGCGGCAGAUUAGUUAGUUGGCGGGGUAAUGGCCCACCAAGACGAUGAUCUGUAUCCGGCCUGAGAGGGCGCACGGACACACUGGAACUGAAACACGGUCCAGACUCCUACGGGAGGCAGCAGUGGGGAAUUUUGCGCAAUGGGGGAAACCCUGACGCAGCAACGCCGCGUGGAGGAUGAAAUCCCUUGGGAUGUAAACUCCUUUCGAUCGGGAAGAUAAUGACGGUACCGAGAGAAGAAGCCCCGGCUAACUUCGUGCCAGCAGCCGCAGUAAU
rnacentral:rRNA from 1 species